rnacentral:rRNA from 1 species
GAGUAAGACCAAGCGGCGGACGGGUGAGUAACGCGUGGGUAACCUGCCCUAUACACAUGGAUAACAUACUGAAAAGUUUACUAAUACAUGAUAAUAUAUAUUUACGGCAUCGUAGAUAUAUCAAAGUGUUAGCGGUAUAGGAUGGACCCGCGUCUGAUUAGCUAGUUGGUGAGAUAACUGCCCACCAAGGCGACGAUCAGUAGCCGACCUGAGAGGGUGAUCGGCCACAUUGGAACUGAGACACGGUCCAAACUCCUACGGGAGGCAGCAGUGGGGAAUAUUGCACAAUGGGCGCAAGCCUGAUGCAGCAACGCCGCGUGAACGAUGAAGGUCUUCGGAUCGUAAAGUUCUGUUGCAGGGGAAGAUAAUGACGGUACCCUGUGAGGAAGCCCCGGCUAACUACGUGCCAGCAGCCGCGGUAAUACGUAGGGGGCUAGCGUUAUCCGGAUUUACUGGGCGUAAAGGGUGCGUAGGUGGUCUCUCAAGUCGGUGGUUAAAGGCUACGGCUCAACCGUAGUUAGCCUCCGAAACUGGAAGACUUGAGUGCAGGAGAGGAAAGUGGAAUUCCCAGUGUAGCGGUGAAAUGCGUAGAUAUUGGGAGGAACACCAGUAGCGAAGGCGGCUUUCUGGACUGCAACUGACACUGAGGCACGAAAGCGUGGGUAGCAAACAGGAUUAGAUACCCUGGUAGUCCACGCUGUAGACGAUGAGUACUAGGUGUCGGGGGUUACCCCCCUCGGUGCCGCAGCUAACGCAUUAAGUACUCCGCCUGGGGAGUACGCACGCAAGUGUGAAACUCAAAGGAAUUGACGGGGACCCGCACAAGUAGCGGAGCAUGUGGUUUAAUUCGAAGCAACGCGAAGAACCUUACCUAAGCUUGACAUCCCUUAGACCGGUGUUUAAUCACACCUUCCCUUCGGGGCUGAGGUGACAGGUGGUGCAUGGUUGUCGUCGGCUCGUGUCGUGAGAUGUUGGGUUAAGUCCCGCAACGAGCGCAACCCUUGUCUUUAGUUGCCAGCAUUCAGUUGGGCACUCUAGAGAGACUGCCAGGGAUAACCUGGAGGAAGGUGGGGAUGACGUCAAAUCAUCAUGCCCCUUAUGCUUAGGGCUACACACGUGCUACAAUGGGUGGUACAGAGGGUUGCCAAACCGUGAGGUGGAGCUAAUCCCUUAAAGCCAUUCUCAGUUCGGAUUGUAGGCUGAAACUCGCCUACAUGAAGCUGGAGUUACUAGUAAUCGCAGAUCAGAAUGCUGCGGUGAAUGCGUUCCCGGGUCU